rnacentral:rRNA from 1 species
UGAGGAAUAUUGGUCAAUGGGCGAGAGCCUGAACCAGCCAUGCCGCGUGCAGGAUUAAGGCCCUAUGGGUCGUAAACUGCUUUUGAAUGGGAAUAAUGUGAGGCACGUGUGCUUUAUUGCAGGUACCAUUCGAAUAAGGAUCGGCUAACUCCGUGCCAGCAGCCGCGGUAAUACGGAGGAUCCGAGCGUUAUCCGGAUUUAUUAGGUUUAAAGGGUACGUAGGCUGCUAUGUAAGUCAGGGGUGAAAUACACGGGCUUAACCUGUGUGCUGCCCUUGAUACUGCGUGGCUAGAGUUGUUACGGGGCAAGCGGAAUGUGCGGAGUAGCGGUGAAAUGCAUAGAUACCGCACAGAACACCGAUAGCGAAGGCAGCUUGCCAGAUACACACUGACGCUGAGGU